rnacentral:misc_RNA from 13 species
ACAGGCUUGCGGCGGCCAAGCGUUCAUAGCGACGUCGCUUGUUGAUCCUUCUUCCUAUCAUUGCGAAGCAGAAUUGCCAAGUGUCGGAUUGUUCACCCGCCAAUAGGGAACGUGAGCUGGGUUUAGACCGUCGUGAGACAGGUU